rnacentral:siRNA from 1 species
CAAAACUCGUAAUCUCAUAGGUCU